rnacentral:rRNA from 1 species
UACGUAGGGUGCGAGCGUUAAUCGGAAUUACUGGGCGUAAAGCGUGCGCAGGCGGUUCGUUGUGUCCGAUGUGAAAGCCCCGGGCUUAACCUGGGAACUGCAUUUGUGACUGCAUCGCUGGAGUGCGGCAGAGGGGGAUGGAAUUCCGCGUGUAGCAGUGAAAUGCGUAGAUAUGCGGAGGAACACCGAUGGCGAAGGCAAUCCCCUGGGCCUGCACUGACGCUCAUGCACGAAAGCGUGGGGAGCAAACAGG